GCGAGAAAACUUUGCAAUGUGCGAAAGCACGACAAGGUUAAUCCGAGUGGUUUCUGCUAAAGAAACCUUUUGCCAGUCCUAGAAACACUGGUGAAUAAGGGGUGGGCAAGUUCUGGUGUCAGCCGCCGCGGUAAAACCAGCACCUCAAGUGGUCAGGAUGAUUAUUGGGCCUAAAGCAUCCGUAGCUCGUUUUGUAAGUUUUCGGUUAAAUCCAUGCGCUUAACGUAUGGGCUGCCGGGAAUACUGCAUAACUAGGAAGUGGGAGAGGUAGACGGUACUCGGUAGGAAGGGGUAAAAUCCUUUGAUCUAUUGAUGACCACCUGUGGCGAAGGCGGUCUACCAGAACACGUUCGACGGUGAGGGAUGAAAGCUGGGGGAGCAAACCGG
rnacentral:rRNA from 1 species